GACGAACGCUGGCGGCGUGCUUAACACAUGCAAGUCGAACGGAGCACCCUUGAUUGAGGCUUCGGCCAAAUGAUAGGAAUGCUUAGUGGCGGACUGGUGAGUAACGCGUGAGGAACCUGCCUUUCAGAGGGGGACAACAGUUGGAAACGACUGCUAAUACCGCAUGAUGUGUAACUGGGACAUCCCGGAUACACCAAAGAUUUAUCGCUGAAAGAUGGCCUCGCGUCUGAUUAGCUAGUUGGUGAGGUAACGGCCCACCAAGGCGACGAUCAGUAGCCGGACUGAGAGGUUGACCGGCCACAUUGGGACUGAGAUACGGCCCAGACUCCUACGGGAGGCAUCAGUGGGGAAUAUUGGGCAAUGGGCGCAAGCCUGACCCAGCAACGCCGCGUGAAGGAAGAAGGCUUUCGGGUUGUAAACUUCUUUUAAGUGGGAAGAGCAGAAGACGGUACCACUUGAAUAAGCCACGGCUAACUAC
rnacentral:rRNA from 1 species